AUGCUGGAGGGUGUCCUGCGCACCAGACGAGCCUUCCUGCCCCGCGCAGAUGACGUCGUCCUCGCCACGCAGCCCAAGUGCGGCACCACCUGGCUCAAGGCCCUCGCCUUCACCGUCGCCACGCGGUCCCGCCACGGCCUCGUUGCCGACCACCCGCUCCUCACUUGCUACCCGCAUCACCUCGUGCCGUACAUCGAGAUCCCUGGUGCUGCCGGCGGCCGUGUAGUCAACCUCGGCGCGCUCCCGUCCCCGAGGCUCCUCGCCACGCACAUGCCCAUGUCGCUGCUCCCGCCGGAGACGCGGUCGCUCGGCUGCCGGGUGGUGUACCUGUGCCGGGACCCCAAGGACACGCUCGUCUCCAGGCUGCACUUCGAGAACAAGCUGGCGGCGCGGUGCGGCGGCGUCGGCCCGUCGAUGGACGACGCCUUCGGCAUGUUCUGCGAGGGGUUCUCGCCCUACGGCCCCUUCUGGGACCACUGCCUCGAGUACUGGGAGGAGAGCGUGGCGAGGCCAGACACCAUCCUCUUCCUCAAGUAUGAGGAGAUCAAGCUGGACCCGGCGCGGGUCGUGAGGAGGCUCGCGAGCUUCCUCGGCGUCCCGCUGACCGAGCAGGAGGAGAGCUCCGGCGUCGCGGACAAGGUGGCGAGGAUGUGUAGCUUCGAGUCGCUCACCGGGCUGGAGGUGAAACAGGUCGGCGGCGUCAGCCACGGGAAUAGAGUUCACUUUGAUAACUCUGUGUUCUACAGGAAAGGCGAGGUAGGGGACUGGGUGAACCACAUGAGCCGCGAGAUGGGGGAGAAGCUCGACCGCAUCGUCCAGCAGAAGCUCCAUGGUUCCGGGCUCGUGUUUUGA
rnacentral:rRNA from 1 species